ensembl:lncRNA CASC15 cancer susceptibility 15
CUUUUUUUUUUUUUUUUUCUAUUUUUUUUUUUUAAAUUCUGAAGCCAGACCGUCUUUCCUCACAGCUCCACGGCUGCAUCUCCGUGGGCACGCAAGCUUCCCCUGGUUACCUGAGCUGCUCCUGCCGUCUCCCGCCUGGGCUUCGCCGUGGUGCACCCGAUCCCGGAAUCGUGCGUCUGCGCCCUGCGAAAGAAGGACCUGCUGGCGGAGCUCCGGCCGGGGUCUCCUGCCUCGCAGCUGGGCGAGGGGACUUGGAGGACAGGGUGAAGCUGCAGAAGACCUGGGGUGGGAUGGCUAGAGAGGACGCCAAGGACUGGGGAAGGGGAAGUUAGGAAUACCUUACAUCCAAUGCCCACCCGUGCUCCGCAGGGCAAGGGCAGCCGUCGCCUCGGCCGCGUGCACCCAGCUCAGGCUGUUCCCAGGGAUUUAGUCUGGGGGGACAACCCAUGGCGAGAUGUGGUGGCAUUUUACCUCAGAGUGGAGCUGAAGAUGGAUAAACAAGGCUCACAGGCAGAAGGAAUUUUCCUUGUCUUGGAUGAGACUUUUGACUUGGACUUUUGGGUUAAGGAUUUACAGAAAGCGUGGUGCUGGCAUCUGAUCAGCUUCUGGGGUGGCCUCAGGAAGCUUACAAUCAUGGUGGCAUUUGAAGUGGAAGCGAGAGAGAGAAGAGGAGAUGCAACACACUUUUAAACAAGAUUUCAGGAGAACUCAUUCACUAUGUUCUGGAGACCAGAAGGCCAAAAUCAAAAGUAUGGGCAGGCUUGAUUUCUUUAGAAGACUCCAGCGGAGAACUGUGUCUCCUUGCUUCUGAUUCUACAUCUCCAUCCAUGGGCCACUGUUUCAGCAACCUCAGCCAGUGCAACACAACCUCAGCCAAGAAGAGUAUGCAGAGAAAGGAGUCCCCUACCUGCCACAAAACUGUUGUCUGAAAACUGUCUCAUAUUGUCUCAAGUUGUCAUUCAUUGUGAAUUAGACCUGUUUAACAUGUAAUCUGCAACAUGCUUCACUGUCUAAUUUUCCAGAGCCCCUCAUAUAAGGAACUGUAUUAUUGGUAUAAUCAUCAUGGUGAAGAAGUUGGUAUGUGGGGGAGAGAUGACAGAAACAGAGAGUAAGUCAGAGCUGGCUGCCUGACAGAUAAAAAGGAAAUGACCAAAAAAAAAAAAAAAGACACAGAAGAAUACUUUGUUGUCCACACAGAAAAGGGAAGUGUAGGUAAGACAGCAGUAGACUAAGAUUCUUAAGACUCAAGUUCUAGUCUUAUUUAUUAGCUAUGGGAGGCCUUGAGGGAGUUCUAGAAUUAAGUGAUCUCUCUUUAUAAAAUAGGAACAGUAAUAACUUCCUGGCUAACUCCCUGGCUGUCUCACAAUGCUGUAGUAGUAAGAAAUAAUUUUAUAAUUAAAGACUAUUUUAGGGCUGAUUACAUUUUUGGGCAGUGGCUCAUACAUGUAAUUUCAACAUUUUGGGAGGCCAAGGUGGGCGGAUUGCUUGAGCCCAGGAAUUCAAGACCAGGCUGGGCAACACAGACCUUGUCACUACAAAAGAAAAAAACAUUAGCUAGGCGUGGUGAUGUAUGCCUGUGGUCCCAGCUACUCAGGAAGCUGAGACAGGAGGAUCACCUGAGCCUGGGAGGUCGAGGCUACAGUGAGCCAUGAUCACACUACUGCACUCCAGCCUGGGAAACAGAGUGAGACUCUGUCUCAAAAAAAAAAAAAAAGGAAUAUUUUACACUUCAAGGUUCUAUACAAAUGUAAAAUAUCAUUCUAUUACUUAUUUAUAAUGCUGAUUAUUCUUUAAAUGACUUUAAAAUGUUAAUCUCUGCUUGAGCCUACGGAGAAGUAUGUAACAAAUUUGUGAAGGAUUGGCAUUAAACAUAGUCAAAAUAAAACAUAGAAAUUAUGGUAAAUAAUUUAACUGGUAAAAUAAUCUAAGUGGUAGUUCUCAGGUAAGUGGAAAUUCGAUUAGCUGAUUGUUUAGGAUUCUUGGUUAUAAGUGACAGAGACCUGACUAAAAGUACAUGAAGCACAUAACUGAGAAGGUUGUGGUAUGGCUCAGCAGAAAUGGGAAAAUCUUGGGACUGGUUCGUGUUUUAUUUACAUUAUCUUUGUUCCCAGGCAGUCUCUGCAUGUAAGUGGCAAAGAUGACUGUCUGAAAAUAUAUACCUACUUUUUUAAAGGGCUAUCUCAAGCCAUUCUGGAGAAGCACCAAAAGCCACUUUGCUUAUACUGGGAGAAUAGUUUGCUUUCCCUAAUUUGUGAUGAGUGAAACACUGAACAGAGACAUAGAAUAAUAUUCUGUAGUUCAGGGUUGGUGUAAUAUGGCCAGUGGGCGGAAUCUGGUCCUCAGACUGAUUUUGCAAAUAAUCUUAUAGAAACACAGCAACACCCAUUCAUUACAUGUUGUUUAUGGUUGCUUUGGGGUUACAAUGGCAGAGUUGAGUAGUUGUGACAGAGAUCACUAGGCUCACCACAUCUGAGAUAUGUACUGACUGACCCUGUACAGAAAGUUUGCUGCUCUUAGAGGAAUGUGUGUUUCUAGUGUCAGCAAUAAACUUCUUGGAUUUGUUUUGUUUUCUCAUCUUUACAUGAUAGUUGCAGACUAGUUGAUCCUUGUGACCUGUUUUUGAAUGCCACUGUGUAUUCUGUCAGGGCCCUCUGAUUCUGUUUCUUAUGGUGCUGAAUGCACAAUUUAAUGCCCUGGAAUUUCCUUCUGUCUUCUGCUAAACUCAUGCCUCUUCAGAUAGUUAAAAUCCUGUUCUACCUUAGAAGUCUCCAGAGUUAUUUUCCUAAAUUAAGAAGAACUGGCUUUGAAGUUACUCAUUAUGCCACACACAAUGGUUGAAAAGAGCAUCUCUUAUGUACUGUGUAUAUUUCAGCAUCCACUCAGCUUCUUAGGUAGAAAAGGAAGAGUCUUCCACAGUGUAUUUUAUCCAUAUUUGGGUCAGAAACUCUUCUUUACCACGGAGCGUGAUGGAAGAAAGAUAUGGGAUGGUAACAGUAGGCCAGGGAUGUAAUAAUCACAAAAUUUGAGAUAUUUUGUGACUGGUGACUCACGCCUGUGAUCCCAGCAUUUUGGGAGGCCAAAGCGGGCGGAUCACCUGAGGUCAGGAGUUCAAGACCAGCUUGGCCAAUGUAGUGAAACCUCAUCUCUACUAAAAAAAUAUAAAAAUUAGCUG